rnacentral:rRNA from 1 species
UGGGGAAUAUUGCACAAUGGGCGAAAGCCUGAUGCAGCAACGCCGCGUGAGUGAUGAAGGCCUUCGGGUUGUAAAGCUCUGUCUUCUGGGACGAUAAUGACGGUACCAGAGGAGGAAGCCACGGCUAACUACGUGCCAGCAGCCGCGGUAAUACGUAGGUGGCAAGCGUUGUCCGGAAUUACUGGGCGUAAAGAAUGCGUAGGUGGAUAUGCAAGUCAGAUGUGAAAUACCCGGGCUCAACUUGGGUGCUGCAUUUGAAACUAUAUAUCUAGAGUGCAGGAGAGGAAAGCGGAAUUCCUAGGGUAGCGGUGAAAUGCGUAGAGAUUAGGAAGAACACCAGUGGCGAAGGCGGCUUUCUGGACUGUAACUGACACUGAGGCAUGAAAGCGUGGGGAGCAAACA